UGGAUGGAAAGUGAGAGCAUUGGAGUUUGUUGGCUGUGCUAUGAAGAAAAAGAAGUCAGUGCUGUGAGGAUCUGCCCAUGAGAAAUCACCAAGAAGUUUAGUCACAACUGUCAACUGUGAAUUGAACUGACAACAGAAGUGUUGGUGCAGUCUAAGAUUUUGCUGGCCAAGGUUGAAGGUCUGAUAUGACCAGAUUUAUUUGGCGGCUACAAGCUUGCUGCAACCGCGACAGAAAAGAAGAAAGCAAACAAGCAAGAAAAUAAUUCAUAACAAUGUUUCUUUCAGUAAAUAGGACCUCUUUAAUCUUGGCUGGUUUGAGUCCACGUGUCAUGGAUAUUGCAGACAUAAUCCUAUUUGUUGCGUCUAACAAGAAGAUUUGUGGUGAAUGGAAUGAUUUACCCAGUGAGACUGAAUUCAAACUAAUUAGCUACAGUUACUCUACACUAGACAAACAGUUUGCAAAAACAAGAGAAAACCCACUCCUCUGUUCACUCUCUCCAUGGACCACUGCUCCUCACAAGAACAUGCUGCUGAUGGACUCUCCACAGACUAGAGGUUCCUUCAUGGCAUCUUCACCUGCUCUGGCAUGGCAUCCUCUGCAGGUCCAGUGUGGGUAUCAGCUCCAUUGCAGUUCUCCAUGAGCACAGAGACAGCACAUAUCAGUCGAAAUUGUUGGUAAAGCUGAGUACAUGCAAAGGCAGUAUCUGAGUCUUGUCACCUCACUCUCAAGGGAAGAAUGGUCAUACAAGGUAUUAGGGUUCUUCACAUGAAAAGUCACAUAAAACAGUAACAUCUGUUAGAUAGUUACGUUAUCUCAAAGUCUCAAAGCAGACCUGGAUCUUGUUCCUUCUGAGGGUGAAAUAAUGUGACUGCAAGUUGGGCCUUUUAUCUGGGUGCUGUAUAAAAAGGAGACUCCUUUAAGGAUCUUUCAUUCUGUCACAGGGUAGAAAUCUUAGAGAGAGGUGAUAUGGUAGGUAGAUGAUUAAUUUAGAUAAUAUCCACUAAGAUUUUGAGAUUUAAAAUCAGAUGAGGAAAAACUUGUACUGGACAACCAUUUGGAAUACGCCAGAUGCACAGAAUCCAUUAGUUAUCAUGGUAUUUAAGAACUCUGAGGGAAAGACUUUUUCUGAAGACUGUGAAAAUGUUGAAGGCAUGGAUAUAGUCCUUCAAGACCUCAGGUAGUGUCCCAGAGACUGUAAAAAAUGCCGCUUCAAAUUUUGGUGUUUUUUUAAUGUGUGCAAACCAGUACAGCAUCUGGCUUCUUUCAGUUUUUCCAGACAUAUAAUGAAGUCUGGAUAAACUUUCUAAUUUUUUCUACCACUUCAGCAAACAGAGAGUAAUCAAAGUUAUUCCUUUCCUGGUACAGAUUAAUGUCAAUAUAAACAACAACAUCACCCUCCCCGUCUUGCUUUCCCUGCUUCUUUUGAGCUUUAUUGUGCUUUGAUUGAUUUUAAAAACAUGAUCUCACACUUGGUGUGUAGAGCAUUUGUGGUCUUCAUUGAUGCAAUGCAGACAUCAGUAUGUCUGUUUUAUGGCUUUUCAGGGGCAUCAUGGCUGGCAUUCAUGGCAUUCAUUCAAAUUUCACCACUGUUUGAUGCUGUGGCUUUGUCUCUCUAAAGAUGUCUUAUGGCUGUCACCUUUCCUCAUCUAUUCUCUAAUUAAUUGCUGUAAUAAAAUGUUGAAGGGUAUUCUAUUGAACUUUUCUGUCCACAAAGACUUACUAUAAAUACUUAUGGUUAAUAAUAGAAAAAGCAUACAGUUACAUCAUUAAAUUACACUUUUAAGAGAAUUUAUAAUUGUACACAGUAUUUAGUAUGCUUUUGUGUGAAGUAGUGAGCACAAAUAAGCUAGAUAAGCAUUAUAUAAUCUGUUUAACAUAUGAUACUAAAGUGGUUUUGAGCAAUUUUUCAUGCUCUAAAGAGACCAAGAUUCUUAUAAUGUAAUUGAGAUAUUUACAGGGCUAAAUUUGUGUCAUUCUUUUCAUCACUUUGUAUCAUGUACCACACACAUAAGUGCAUAUAUGUGAAAGUGCAUGUGUGAAAAUAAGCUGUGGCACAUUCUCAACUCUCUUAUUGGGAGAACAAUUUAAAUUAGUUUCCAGAGCAGAAACUGUUGUAGAAGAGGCAAGUAAUAAAUUAGAUGGAUAGCUUUUGCUCUGUAGACAAAACUAUUGCAAAAAGUUAAUUUAGAAUGUGUACUGUUAAAAAACAUGAG